rnacentral:rRNA from 1 species
UACAGAGGGUGCGAGCGUUAAUCGGAAUUACUGGGCGUAAAGGGCGCGUAGGUGGUUAAUUAAGAUUGUUGUGAAAUCCCUGGGCUUAACCUAGGAACUGCAACGAUGACUGAUGAGCUUGAGUAUUGUAGAGGGUAGUGGAAUUUCCGGUGUAGCGGUGAAAUGCGUAGAGAUCGGAAGGAACACCAGUGGCGAAGGCGGCUACCUGGACAAAUACUGACACUGAGGCGCGAGAGCGUGGGGAGCAAACAGG